AGCUGCCUGAGGACAGCAGUGCAGUUGACAUGGAUAUUCUCUUUCCUCUGCACAGUGUUAUUGAGACAGAGCUGUGCCCCAGCCCCAUUCCCCAGAUCAUCCAUUUCGUCCUCUUCAUUGUGUUCAGCCUGGUGAUCCUGAUCAUCUUAUGCCCCUACAUUCCCAGGGAGCCAUCCUCAGUGCCUCCCAGAGAGGAGGACAGCGAGAAUGAUCAAGCUGAAGUGGGGGAAUGGCUCAGGAUCGGAAAUAAAUAUAUCACUUUGAAAGACUGCAGAAUUCUCUUGAAAGAAUUGGAGAACCUUGAGGUCUACACUUUCCUGCUGGAAAAGCGCCUGAAGAAGCUCUCUAGGGAGGGCAGCUCCCAUCACCUUCCACGCCAAGUCCGCCCAGGGCCAGUGUACAAACCAGCACCUGCUAGGAACCACCGGCCACGUGGGGGGCGUGGGAAAGCUUCUCCCACCAGCUUCCAUGUGUCCCCACGGGCUCCCCCGGCUCCUCUGGCCUCCAUGCCGUCAUCAGUCCCGAAGACCUCCAUAGAGUCCCUUGGGUCUCCAUCAUCCCUGAGCUCCUCCCAGGCAUCAGAGCCUCUGUGUCCCCUGAAGCACCCUUCACACCGGCCACCUGCGAGCACCCUAUCACCAAACCCGACCAGCUCCACAGAAUCCUUGGGGUAUCUGUCAUCCCUCAGCUCCUCCCAGCCACCAGAGCCUUUGCGUCCCCUGAAGCACCCUUCACACAAGCCACAUGGGCGUUCCCCUCCCCGACGACGGAAUCCUGGCUGGGUGUCCUGGUCCGACUCCAUGCAGGCUGAUUCCGAAACUGACGCCAUAAUAUGCCCAAUGUGCAAGGCCCCUGAGCGCUCCUGUCCACACACCUGGUGGGUGCCUUCUAGCCCUCGAGUGAUCCGAGGCGUUGGUCGCUGCAGUGAUCCCAACCUGGGCCUCUCCUGGAGGCAGGAGGCUGCUAGAGCCUGGUGCCACUGCACCUCCUCACAGUACCCAUUCGAGCACCCUAAUCUUCCCACCCACCUACCAAAGGCUUCCUUCUAGGGAGACCCCACAUGCAGGCAGAUGGAGGCAGGGCUCACACUGGCCUCCAGGGCUGUGCAACUGGCAUAUUAUUUUGCACAUAACUUGGCUCAGGUUUGUGAGGUCUGAUUUUUAAAAUGAAGCAACAAUCACAUAAAGAUUUUCAAACAAAUAA